rnacentral:tRNA from 1 species
GGAGCGGUAGUUCAGUUGGUUGGAAUACCGGCCUGUCACGCCGGGGGUCGCGGGUUCGAGCCCCGUCCACUCCGCCA